GACGAACGCUGGCGGCGUGCUUAACACAUGCAAGUCGAACGGAAAGGCCCUGCUUUUGUGGGGUGCUCGAGUGGCGAAAGGGUGAGUAACACGUGAGUAACCUGCCCUUGACUUUGGGAUAACUUCAGGAAACUGGGGCUAAUACCGGAUAGGAGCUCCUGCUGCAUGGUGGGGGUUGGAAAGUUUCGGCGGUUGGGGAUGGACUCGCGGCUUAUCAGCUUGUUGGUUGGGUAGUGGCUUACCAAGGCUUUGACGGGUAGCCGGCCUGAGAGGGUGACCGGCCACAUUGGGACUGAGGUACGGCCCAGACUCCUACGGGAGGCAGCAGUGGGGAAUAAUGAACAAUGGGCGGAAGCCUGAUGCAGCCACACCGCGGGCUGGAUGACGGCCUUCGGGUUGUAAACCGCUUUCGCCUGUGACGAAGCGUGAGUGACGGUAAUGGGUAAAGAAGCUCCGGCUGACUACGUG
rnacentral:rRNA from 1 species